UAAGCGCAGAGCCUCAUUUUUAGAAGUUGUCGUAUAUGUACCAAGUGACAUAUAUGGGAGUAAACAUUUGGUAGAUCUUUGAGCUCCCACCGGUCAUGGCUGCGAAAAGAGCAAAGACAGAGAGAGAGAGAGAGAGAGAGAGUAAUCGAGGCUCAGAUUCGCCCUUUCUCAGACAAAAGGAGAAAGGAAAUCCACCGGCCAUGGCUGCAACAAGGAGCUGCAACG